CGCUCAUCUACUCUCAUCUCUCUCCCACUCUUCCUUUAUCAUCCCUCCUUCUCGUCCCUCUCUUUCUCACUCUUCCUUUCUCAUUUCCUUAUCUACCUGCCCCCUCAUCUGCAUAACAGCACUUCUCUCCUCCCCUCAUGCCUGCAUCUACCUCCUAUACCCCCCCCUCCUUCCUCCCCCCUCUCUCACGUCAGAGUGAUGGUGUUGAGUUGAGAGUCAGACACAUAGUUCAGAGCCAGCGCUCCAAACGGGUCAAUGACAGUAGCAUCAUCAUCGGCUCUGGUCAGGUCUGGGGUGGUGGACUAAAAUACACAAACAAUCAGGACUCAAACAAACAAACAAACAAAGUAACAAACAAAGACGUCAACAAAAACACUCACAUGGUUGUUCUCCUCCGAGCCACCAGGUGUCAAUGCAGCCUGGUUGUUCUCCUCCGAGCCACCAGGUGUCACUGCAGCCUGGUUGUUCUCCUCCGAGCCACCAGGUGUCACUGCAGCCUGGUUGUUCUCCUCCGAGCCACCAGGUGUCACUGCAGCCUGGUUGUUCUCCUCCGAGCCACCAGGUGUCACUG
rnacentral:lncRNA from 1 species